UCUUAUAAACAGUGUUACAUUAUUCCUCCACGUGAAUUCUUCUCUUCAUGUCUCUUGGUCAUCCUGGAUCUCUCCUAUUAUAAAUAAGUUUGUGUCUCUCCCUCGUCAAGACGCAACAACAUAUUUAUCGGUCAAAUUCUUUGUUUCUCUGGGAAGAUAGAAAGGAUUGGAAGGAUGAGGAAACGGAUAUUAUUUGGACAGAGAACAGCUCUGAGGGCGUUAAACAUAGUAAAGUUGCAAGAGGAUCCAUCACAUGUAAUACUAGGAAUGAUUAUAUCCGUAUCAUACACUUUACUCAAAGCUGUACGAACCAAAUUUGCCUUUUCUCUCCCAGAUAAUCCAUGGACCAUAAAGUUUCCAAUGGGUAUUUUCCAACUCCCAUUGAUGACAAUUUUUUGGAUUCAGAACCAAGAUCAAAAAUAUUAUUCCAAACUAUAAAUUAAGAAUAAUUUAUUCUUAGAUGCGUUUAGUUUUUAUCAAAAAAAAGUAUGUUGAUUUAUUUUUUAGGGGCUGAUAAUUUAAAUUUUAUUUUUAAAGUAUCAUUCCAAUAGCUCCUUGAGGUUGGAUUUAGAAAUUUAGAAAUAUUAUGAAUAUACUUAAUUUAUACUGUUCAAAACCAAAAUAUAUAUUUGUUAAAAGGUUUUAUAAUGUAAACUUUAAAAAAAUAUUAAACUAAUCAUUUAAACUGAUGAAUUCGCCAUUCAAAAAUAAAGUUUCAACUUCAAGAUUGUAUAGUAUGUUUCCAUUCAAAUAAUAUUAAAUAUUAUAUCCUCCAUUGAUCUUUGAAUAGUAAUGUAAAUAAUUCAUAACGAUGAUAAUGUAUUUAGGUAUAUGUUAGUUACCGAGUAAA
rnacentral:lncRNA from 1 species